rnacentral:tRNA from 1 species
GCCGAUGUAGCUCAGUUGGUAGAGCAGCGCAUUCGUAAUGCGCAGGUCAGCGGUUCGACCCCGCUCGUCGGCU